GUUUAGGCUUCUCAUAUUCCUAGUCUUCAGUGCAUUGUACGGCCGUACUUGAAUUUGAUGUUCUAAUAUGGAAUCAGGAUAGCGAUCAAAAAAGAUCUCAUUGGCAGCCAUGUCAAACGUUGGGAUAACUUCCUGAGGAUAGCAGAUGAGCUGCCUGUAAAGAUUUUCAUCAAAUGCUCUUAGAUGGUCACAAUUUACGUUCAGAAACGGCUCCCCAACCAUAUUAAUCUCUUCAAGUCGUUGCAUAUAGCGUGGCUGGUUGAGAUCCAAGCCAAUGUCUUCA
rnacentral:lncRNA from 1 species